AGGUGCGAUCAUACCAGCACUAAUGCACCGGAUCCCAUCAGAACUCCGCAGCUAAGCGUGCUUGGGCGAGAGUAGUACUAGGAUGGGUGACCUCCUGGGAAGUCCUCGUGUUGCACUUC
rnacentral:rRNA from 1 species